ensembl:processed_transcript
CGCGGAACUGAAGAGGAGGUUAACUCGCUCACUUCACACAGACAUAUGAAAGGAUAAACUAGUUUCACUUUAAGAGGGAGGAGCAGAGCCCAGGAGGCGGGAGUUACGCCAUGAUUUAUUAGGAGAAAAGGACAGCGAGGGGAUCCUUCAGCUCGCGAGAGUCACGCUGAUUUGAUGUAUAAGGCACUAGUGUUGAGGAACCCUGUCUUUCAUGGCUAAACAGUCAAGGCUGAGGUUAAUACGCCACUGAAGACUACACCGUGUACCCGGAAUAAUCAAGGGGGCUGCCCCACAACCAAGCAUCUCACUAAAUGUCUCACCAGGAAGCUGCAGGAAUGCAAGGUGUUUGUAGGAGUGAGGCAUUUGUACUGUCAAGCAUCCCCAAAAAUGACUGCACACAAAAAGGACUUAGUGCUUUGUAACAAUUGUGCCUCCCUCCUUCACUGGCCCUCCAUUCUCCCUACCUUUCCUGUGACCCCAGCACUAGGCAUAAAAGAUCCAUCAACAGUAUCACUGGCUGCAUUUACAAGUGAAAGGGGCCCAAUAAUGGAGCAGUUAGAGGAAGAAUGGCUGGGCGCAGGGAGGCUCACAGAUGUUGGUGGUUGAGGGGGAGGUGGGAUGUAU